AGUGAACGCUGGCGGUAGGCCUAACACAUGCAAGUCGAACGGCAGCACAGUAAGCGCUUGCUCUUACGGGUGGCGAGUGGCGGACGGGUGAGGAAUACAUCGGCAUCUACUUUUUCGUGGGGGAUAACGUAGGGAAACUUACGCUAAUACCGCAUACGACCUACGGGUGAAAGCAGGGGAUCUUCGGACCUUGCGCGAUUGAAUGAGCCGAUGUCGGAUUAGCUAGUUGGCGGGGUAAGGGCCCACCAAGGCGACGAUCCGUAGCUGGUCGGAGAGGAUGGUCAGCCACCCUGGAACGGGGACACGGUCCAGACUCCUACGGGAGGCAGCGGAGGGGAAUAUUGGACAAUGGGGGCAAGCCUGACCCAGCCAUACCGCGUGGGUGAAGAAGGCCUUCGGGUUGUAAAGCCCUUUUGUUGGGAAAGAAAAGUAGCAGGUUAAUACCCCGCUGUUCUGACGGUACCCAAAGAAUAAGCACCGGCUAACUUCGUG
rnacentral:rRNA from 1 species